rnacentral:rRNA from 1 species
UGGGGAAUUUUGGACAAUGGGGGCAACCCUGAUCCAGCAAUGCCGCGUGAGUGAAGAAGGCCUUCGGGUUGUAAAGCUCUUUUGUCAGGGAAGAAACGGUCUGGGCUAAUAUCCUGGGCUAAUGACGGUACCUGAAGAAUAAGCACCGGCUAACUUCGUGCCAGCAGCCGCGGUAAUACGAAGGGUGCAAGCGUUACUCGGAAUUACUGGGCGUAAAGCGUGCGUAGGUGGUGAGUUAAGUCUGUCGUGAAAGCCCCGGGCUCAACCUGGGAAUGGCGAUGGAUACUGGCUCGCUAGAGUGCGGUAGAGGAGAGUGGAAUUCCCGGUGUAGCAGUGAAAUGCGUAGAGAUCGGGAGGAACAUCAGUUGCGAAGGCGGCUCUCUGGACCAGCACUGACACUGAGGCACGAAAGCGUGGGGAGCAAA